rfam:Felis catus isolate Cinnamon breed Abyssinian chromosome B1, whole genome shotgun sequence.
GCCUGGCUGGCUCAGUUGGUAGAGCAUGAGACUCUUAAUCUCAGGGUCUUGAGUUCAAGCCCCACAUUAGGUG